UGGGGAAUAUUGGACAAUGGGCGGAAGCCUGAUCCAGCCAUGCCGCGUGUGUGAAGAAGGCCUUUUGGUUGUAAAGCACUUUAAGCGAGGAGGAGGCUACUUGGAUUAAUACUCUAGGAUAGUGGACGUUACUCGCAGAAUAAGCACCGGCUAACUCUGUGCCAGCAGCCGCGGUAAUACAGAGGGUGCGAGCGUCAAUCGGAUUUACUGCGCGUAAAGCGUGCGUAGGCGGCUUUUUAAGUUGGAUGUGAAAUCCCUGAGCUUAACUUAGGAAUUGCAUUCGAUACUAGGAAGCUAGAGUAUGGGAGAGGAUGGUAGAAUUCCAGGUGUAGCGGUAAAAUGCGUAGAGAUCUGGAGGAAUACCGAUGGCGAAGGCAGCCAUCUGGCCUAAUACUGACGCUGAGGUACGAAAGCAUGGGGAGCAAACAGG
rnacentral:rRNA from 1 species